rnacentral:rRNA from 1 species
GUGAACGCUGGCGGCAUGCCUUACACAUGCAAGUCGAACGGUAGAGGGGCAACCCUUGAGAGUGGCGAACGGGUGAGUAAUGCAUCGGAACGUGCCCAGUCGUGGGGGAUAACGCAGCGAAAGCUGUGCUAAUACCGCAUGUGAUCUGUGGAUGAAAGCAGGGGACCGCAAGGCCUUGUGCGAUUGGAGCGGCCGAUGUCAGAUUAGCUAGUUGGUAGGGUAAAAGCCUACCAAGGCGACGAUCUGUAGCUG